rnacentral:misc_RNA from 1 species
GGAAAAAUUUAAAUUACCUCCAUCUUGAUUAUAAUUUUAACUUGAAGCCUGUGAAAACCCUUACUACAAAGGAACGCAAGAAAUCUCGGUUUGGCAAUGCUUUUCAUCUCUGCCGUGAGAUCCUGCGUUUGACAAAGCUUGUGGUUGAUGCCAAUAUCCAGUUCCGACUGGGUAAUGUUGAUGCAUUCCAGCUAGCUGAUGGUCUGCAAUAUACAUUUUCUCAUGUUGGUCAGUUGACUGGCAUGUAUCGCUACAAGUACAGGCUGAUGAGACAGAUUAGAAUGUGCAAAGACUUGAAGCACUUGAUAUAUUACCGCUUCAAUACGGGUCCAGUGGGGAAAGGACCUGGCUGUGGA